ensembl:snRNA U4 U4 spliceosomal RNA
AGCUUUGCGCAGUGGCAAUAUCAUAGCCAGUGAGGUUUAUCUGAGGCGCAAUUAUUACUAAUUGAAAAAGAUUAAUAUUCAAGUCUGUCACCUUUUAACCAAGUUUAUGGGUUAUUAUUAAGAAAUGUAAAUCAU